UGAAGACACUAAGGCGAGAGAAAGGGGGAAAUAGCAUGCAGCAAACGGCCGUGGGUUGGAAUUGAACCCGGGCCACUGCGGUACGACAGAGACUUGGUACAUUGGGCGCACGCUCAACCAGGUGAGCUAC